rnacentral:rRNA from 1 species
UGGGCGUAAGCGCACGCAGGCGGUCUGUUAAGUCAGAUGUGAAAUCCCCGGGCUUAACCUGGGAACUGCAUUUGAAACUGGCAGGCUUGAGUCUUGUAGAGGGGGGUAGAAUUCCAGGUGUAGCGGUGAAAUGCGUAGAGAUCUGGAGGAAUACCGGUGGCGAAGGCGGCCCCCUGGACAAAGACUGACGCUCAGGUGCGAAAGCGUGGGGAGCAAACAGGAUUAGAUACCCUGGUAGUCCACGCCGUAAACGAUGUCGACUUGGAGGUUGUUCCCUUGAGGAGUGGCUUCCGGAGCUAACGCGUUAAGUCGACCGCCUGGGGAGUACGGCCGCAAGGUUAAAACUCAAAUGAAUUGACGGGGGCCCGCACAAGCGGUGGAGCAUGUGGUUUAAUUCGAUGCAACGCGAAGAACCUUACCUACUCUUGACAUCCACGGAAUUCGGCAGAGAUGCCUUAGUGCCUUCGGGAACCGUGAGACAGGUGCUGCAUGGCUGUCGUCAGCUCGUGUUGUGAAAUGUUGGGUUAAGUCCCGCAACGAGCGCAACCCUUAUCCUUUGUUGCCAGCGAUUCGGUCGGGAACUCAAAGGAGACUGCCGGUGAUAAACCGGAGGAANNUGGGGAUGACGUCAAGUCAUCAUG